rfam:Tncinocarpus reesii 1704 scaffold_4 genomic scaffold, whole genome shotgun sequence.
GCCCCCGUGGUCUAGUUGGUCAUGACGCCGGUCUCAUAAUCCACUUAUGACGAGCAGAAUUCACUGCUGGGCAAUCCGGAGGCCACCAGUUCGAACCUGGUCGGAGGCA